CAGUAGCCGCGGGAACACGUAGGGUGCAAGCGUUAAUCGGAAUUACUGGGCGUAAAGCGUGCGCAGGCGGUUCUAUAAGACAGAUGUGAAAUCCCCGGGCUCAACCUGGGAACUGCAUUUGUGACUGUAGAGCUGGAGUACGGCAGAGGGGGACGGAAUUCCGCGUGUAGCAGUGAAAUGCGUAGAUAUGCGGAGGAACACCGAUGGCGAAGGCAAUCCCCUGGGCCUGUACUGACGCUCAUGCACGAAAGCGUGGGGAGCAAACAGGAUUAGAUACCCCAGUAGUCCCUGUCUCUUAUAC
rnacentral:rRNA from 1 species